rnacentral:rRNA from 1 species
UGGGGAAUAUUGCACAAUGGGCGCAAGCCUGAUGCAGCCAUGCCGCGUGUGUGAAGAAGGCCUUCGGGUUGUAAAGCACUUUCAGCGAGGAGGAAGGUGGUGAACUUAAUACGUUCAUCAAUUGACGUUACUCGCAGAAGAAGCACCGGCUAACUCCGUGCCAGCAGCCGCGGUAAUACGGAGGGUGCAAGCGUUAAUCGGAAUUACUGGGCGUAAAGCGCACGCAGGCGGUUUGUUAAGUCAGAUGUGAAAAUCCCCGGGCUCAACCUGGGAACUGCAUUUGAAACUGGCAAGCUAGAGUCUCGUAGAGGGGGUGAGAAUUCCAGGUGUAGCGGUGAAAUGCGUAGAGAUCUGGAGGAAUACCGGUGGCGAAGGCGGCCCCCUGGANGAAGACUGACGCUCAGGUGCGAAAAGCGUGGGGAGCAAACAGAUUAGAUACCCUGGUAGUCCACGCUGUAAAACGAUGUCGAUUUUGGAGGUUGUGCCCCUUGAGGCGUGGNUUCCGGAGCUAACGNGUUAAAUCGACGCCNGGGGAGUANGGCCNCAAGGUUAAAACUUAAAUG